rnacentral:rRNA from 1 species
UACGUAGGGUGCGAGCGUUAAUCGGAAUUACUGGGCGUAAAGCGUGCGCAGGCGGUUCUCCAAGUCCGUUGUGAAAGCCCCGGGCUCAACCUGGGAAUGGCAGUGGAAACUAGGGGACUGGAAUCUGGCAGAGGGGGGUGGAAUGCCGCGUGUAGCAGUGAAAUGCGUAGAUAUGUGGAGGAACACCGAUGGCGAAGGCAGCCCCCUGGGUUAGCACUGACGCUCAUGCACAAAAGCGUGGGGAGCAAACAGG